rnacentral:rRNA from 1 species
UACGUAGGGGGCAAGCGUUGUCCGGAUUUAUUGGGCGUAAAGAGCGUGUAGGCGGUCAGGUAGGUCCGUUGUGAAAACUCGAGGCUCAACCUCGAGACGCCGAUGGAAACCAUCUGACUAGAGUCCGGAAGAGGAGAGUGGAAUUCCGUGGUGUAGCGGUGAAAUGCGCAGAUAUCAGGAAGAACACCCGUGGCUAAGGCGGCUCUCUAGUACGGUACUGACGCUGAGACGCGAAAAGCGUGGGGGAGCGAACAGG